GGGAUGAGCUCGCGGCCUAUCAGCUUGUUGGUGGGGUAAUGGCCUACCAAGGCGACGACGGGUAGCCGGCCUGAGAGGGUGACCGGCCACACUGGGACUGAGACACGGCCCAGACUCCUACGGGAGGCAGCAGUGGGGAAUAUUGGACAAUGGGCGAAAGCCUGAUCCAGCAACGGGGCGUGAGGGAUGACGGCCUUCGGGUUGUAAACCUCUAACAGCAGGGACGAAGCGAAAGUGACGGUACCUGCAGAAGAAGGA
rnacentral:rRNA from 1 species